rnacentral:rRNA from 1 species
GACGAACCGUGCGAACGUUGUUCGGAAUCACUGGGCUUAAAGGGCGCGUAGGCGGGCCGCCAAGUCCGCGGUGAAAUCCCCCGGCUCAACCGGGGAACUGCCGCGGAUACUGGAGGUCUCGAGGGGGGUAGGGGCAUGCGGAACUGCGGGUGGAGCGGUGAAAUGCGUUGAUAUCCGCAGGAACUCCGGUGGCGAAAGCGGCUCUCUGGAACGGUACUGACGCUGAGACGCGAAAGCGUGGGGAGCGAACAGG